CCUCCUGCCACAGUCCAGGGUAGGAGAUACUUCUCCAGGCUCUCACUUAUGGGGGCUUUCCUGCUGGCUACAUCACUGAAAUGGAAUCUCCUAGUGGCCCUUCUCCCUCUACAGCUCUGGUGUUACACUGAAAAACUAGAAGUUUCAAAACAGACAAGGGAAAAAGAGAAACAUCAGAAAGUCUGAUUAAAGUAGAAGCAUCAUAUUUCUAUCAACGUAUCCACUGUGCUUGGACUCUGUAAUAUUCACCGGCAGGAAAACCCAAGGGAAUGACUACUAUGACAUCUGAUGAAGAGGUUACUAAGUUUCAGAAAGAAGCAGGAAUUAGUGCUUGGAGACCCAAACAUCCUAGAAGGACCCUGGAGAUCCUUUGUGAAGUUGAGAAGGAGGGAGAUUAUUGUUUAAGGUAGCUUCUGAGUUGUGCGCCAGGCAUUGGAAACUAAGCCAAGGACACAGCCAGCCAGUGAGCAAGGCCUUCUCCAGAUCAUUCCGGGGAGUUCUGCUCCAGUUUAGAGGGCUGUUCCAGGUUCCCUCAGUGGUGAUUUUGGAGGCUUCAAAGGACUUCCCAGUAGAGAUGAGCAAAGAGAGGUCAUCCCCAUUCCCUUGAAACUGAUUCAGCCAAGCCUUUCAUGUCAACCUUCUGCACCAGUUGAGCAAAGCAGUAAUCACACCCAUUCAAGUCUUCUAAAGGGAAAGAAAUCACCAUCACUUGUCCUUAUUCUGUUGCACUGGAAAUAGAUUUGUCAGAUAAGAUAUAGGAUACCCAGUUAAAUUUGAAUUUCAGAUAAAUGAUAAAACUUUUUUGGAAUAAGUGUGUCCCACAUGUUGCAUGGGACACACAAACUUGAUCUGAAAUUCAAAUGUGACCAGAUGUCCUGUACUUUUAUUUGCCAAAUCUGACAAUUCCUUCCACAAGUCACUAGAAACAUCUCAUAAUUGUGCCCCCCUGCAGGUGGUAAGAGGUACCAUGUCAUAGCACAACCUGCAAAAAGUGGUUAAUGAUAGAACAUGCCACUGAGGGGUAGUGAGCCUCUUGUCACAGAGAGCUUACCUGGCUGUUUUCAUACCUUCCCUGCACUUUUAAUCCCUCACUCCUCAGCUCCUAGGGAUAAGGAGCAUGAAUCCUGAGGCAGGUUGCUUGGAUAUGAACGCUGGUUAGCUGAUGGCCUUACAUUAAGUAAUAUAACCUCUCUGUGUUUUCUAGUUUGCUCGUCUGUAAAAUGGGGGCAAGAGUAGCAAUUACCUUGUAAAGUUGUUCUGAAGCUUCAAAGUGCUUAGUUCAGUGCUUGGCCCAUGGGGAAGGAAGAAAAGACAUUAAUUAUUACUGUUAUUAUUCCCUGGUACCUAUAUACAAAAGGAGUUGGGCUAUUGAGAAUCAUGUAAUCAUGUCAAAGCUGGGGCAGAAUUUAAGGUCUCAGAAGCCAUUGCUGAACCACUGCCACUCAGAGAAGAAAAAUAUUUUGGGAGCAUUUAGAGGAACUCUCUUGUUUUAGAAAUGAAAACUCAAGCCAGAAAGGCCAAAUGGCUCGCUCCAAACUUCACAGGUGGUUGAGAAUAAGAUCUUGGGGUAGAACAGCAGAUACAGAUAAAAUAACCCAAAGGAAUGGUGGAGAGCCUUUUGCUAGGACUCAGUAAUUUAAAUUACAGAAUUACAGGAUUUUAGAGCUACCAGAAGUGGGCAAGACAGCAUUUGCCCCAGGGCCGGCCUAAAGCAAGACACAGACAUAGGAGUCAAAUGUUCUUGGGGUUCUAGUCCCAGUUCUGCCCUGGUGUUUCUUACACAUCUUUUGGCAAGUCCUUACCUUCCCUAGCCUUCAGUUUCCCAUCUGUACAACGGAGAUAAUCAUCUGAGCUCUGUCUGCUUCCUCUGGCUAUUGCGAAAGCUUUGGAAGGAAUGACACCUCGGCUGCCUCCCAGGAACUAACCAUCCCACUCUGCCCUUUUGGCCUCUCCCCAGCUUGUCAGAGUGCUGCCUUCCUUCACGUCCUUGGCUUCCAGCCCUCACAGGCAUGAGAUAUCUGGGCCCCAACUGACUGAUGACCAGCAGAUUCUAGUAUGUGGGGUGAGGGUGGGGAAGGUUCAUUCUUGCUUGACUGGCCUGCAUUGCCCAUCAGCCUAGAUUCAAGCCAUGCAAAGAAGGCCUCUGAGCUCAGCUCUCAACUGAUGCUUUUUGAAUUGAGCAGAGUGACCUUGCUGAAAAGUAAGUCUGAUCAUGACACUCACCAACUUAACCCUUGCCUACAGGUGUUAACCUGGUCCCCCAUCUGCGUUACCACUUACUAUCUCUCACUCAGACUAAUAGACCUCAGCUUUUCUGUGCCCACUACCCCUGCUCAAAUCCAUUAUUUGCAUAGUCACCAAGAGAGCCGUCUAAAAUAAAAAUCCAAUUAGGCUGCCUCCCCUCUUAAAACCCAUUAUUCACUGCAGGGAUUCUUUUCUUGUCUUUUCUUUUUUGAAACAGAGUCUCACGGUGUUGCCCAGGCUGAAUACAAUCGUGCAAUCAUGACUCUCUGCAGACUUGACAUCCUGGGCUCAUCAAGCAAUCCUCCUGCCUCAGCCUCCCGAAUAGCUGAGACUACAGGCACCCACCACCACAUCACACUCUACAAAAAAUUUCUGUUUUUUUGUAGAGAUGGGGUCUUGCUAUAUUGCCCAGGGUGGUCUCAAACUCCUGACUUCAAGUAAUCCUCCUGCCUUGGCCUCCCAAGGUGCUGGGAUUACAGGUGUGACCCACCACACCUGGCCAACUGCAGGGAUUCUUUAUUUGAAGAUCAUGGAUAGGUUUCAGGAAAUAUGUGAACACUCUGAAAUGUAUACCCUAGUUCUGUUUGUGUGAGUAUUAACUUUGAUCAGAUUUUCAGAGAGGUCUGUGACCAACUUCCUGCACUAAAAAAUGUUUACAAACCACUGCUCCACAGGAUAAAGUUCAAACCUCUCAGUCUAAAGGAAAUACAAAGCCAUUCAUGACACAGUUUUUACAUACACCAUCUUCAUUUUGGAUUUCUCAGCCCCAAUUGCUUGAACAUGUCUUGCCGUUUCUUAUCUCCUUGCCUUUGCUCAAGCUGUGUCCUCUGUCUUGAAGAUCCUCUUUUUCUCAUUCUUUCCAGGGAUCUCCCUCCCUUGGUUAAGUCCCAGUUAACUAGUAUAACUUCAUUCAAGAGUUUCUUCUUCCAGGAGCUUCCCAAUAUGAUUUGGCUGUGGGCCCCACCCAAAUCUCAUGUUGAAUUGUGAUCCCCAGAGUUGGAGGUAGACGUGGUGGGAGAUGGUUGGAUCAUGGGGGUGGUUUCUAAUGGUUUAACACUGUCUCCUAGUGUUGUUUUGUGACAGAGUUCUCACAAGAUCUUGUUGUUUGAAAGUGUGUAACACCUCCUACUUCGUGCACUUUCUCUUUUCCCUUCUUCACCAUGUGAAGAUGUGCCUGCUUCUCCUUCACCUUCUGCCAUAAUUGAAUGUUUCCUGAGGCCUCCCCAGCCAUGCUUCCUGUAUAGCCUGCAGAACGGUGAGCCAAUUAAACCCAUUUUCUUUAUAAAUUACCCAGUCUCAAGUAUUUCUUUAUAGCAAUGUGAGAAUGAACUAAUACACUUCCUCUGACCCUCUCCUCCACACCCAUGCUGGGGAGAUGUUCUUCCGUGGGAUCCCACAAUCGACAUCCAUCUGGCUCUCUAGAAUUGCACUGUUCAUGUAGUGCUCACAGAGAUGAAAGCUCUUUGAGAACAAGACCACACAUUAUCGCUUUCUUCCUCUCCUUUUCUCAAGCAGUGGUUCUUGGGGACUGCAGCAUCUCACCUUCAUAGAAACUCAACACUCAGACCUCACCCCAGACCUACUGAAUCAGAAACUCUGAGGUUGGGGCCAGUGAGCUGUGCUUUAACAAGCCCUGCAGGUGAUCCUGAUGCCCGCUGAAGCCUGGGAACCAUAGUCCUGAAAAAACGUCCCUGGCUCUUGUCUGUUCUGUUGUGAUAGCUCCUAACUGGGCUUCCUGCUUCCUCCUCUGUCACCUUCCAAUCUAUUCUUCAUCCUAGAGCCAGAAUUAUCUUUCUACAACAUGGAAGGAAGGGCCCUCCUCAAGAGCCUUCAGUGGCUUCCAUUUGCACCUAUAAUUAAAUCCUGAUCCCUCACCAUGACCUACAGGACCCUGUGUGACCUGGCCCUGCAUCUCUCCUAUGCUGACCCCCUACCACCAGGCACGAUGGUCUGCUUUCAGCUUCUGAGGUCAACCAUCCCUUCUUGCCUCAGGCCAUGUGCUGGGAUGGGGAGAGGAAUAUGGGUGAGUCAUCUUCUCCAUCCUUGAGGAGGUAUAGUCAACUAGGGGAGACAGAUAUGGACACAAAUAGACAUGCAGUUCAUAGAAAGCAAAGUAGCAGGGCUGUGCAUAUGGUACAGAAACAGCAAAGACUCAUUCUGUUUAGGGACUUUUGUUUUGCAGUGAUUUCCAACUCUGCUUCUAAAGUUUGAAGGUGUAGUUUUUCUUAUUCGAACAUUCCAAUACUAGGCAUUCCAUUGCCCUGAGCCUCAGUCCUGCUACUGCCAUUCAGAAGCUAUGCCCACCGUGCAGGGGCAUUGGAGGGAGUACACGAGGAUAUACAUCAAACGUGCCAAGCGGAGGGCAGGGUCUCUGCAGGGAUCAGGGACUCCCAUGUUUCUGGAGCAGAUUCAAGUUUUGAUGUUGUGGGGACUUACCCUUCCUGAGCUUCAGUGGGAAACUAAGUAUCCCCUGAAAAAACUGAGGUGUUAAGGAGGAGGCUUGAGGUUGGGCCUACAGCAAAAGAAAAGUUCCCCUCCACUUUAAGAAAUCUCCCUCCUGUGGGUGUGGUAGUGAAUGUGAAAGUAGAAUCUGCCUCCUGGCCCCUGCACUUACCAGAAGGGGCAGUGGUACUUGCAAAGGAGUUACAGAAAGAGCAGCAGCUGAACAGGAACUGGGGCCACCGGUUCUGGGAAGCUGGGGCUUUGGGGGAAGCGCCUGGCAGACCCCAGUGUUUACAAACUUCAGGAGCACCUGAACCCCAGCCUGUGUUAGGCACAGAGCAAAUUGUGGUGAGCUACUGGCACAAGUCCUCUGGAGCCAGAAAGUCAAGACAGAAAGCCAGGAUGACUCCUCUAGGGCCCAGGGCUCACAGUUCCCUGGACAAACAGCCUCACUGUGGCCUCUGGGAAAAGGUGGGAGGCAGAGCAGGCUGGUGGGUUAGAUAUUCAUUCAUUCAUUCCCAAUUUCCUCAUCUGUGAAAUGGGGAAAGAAAUUCCUUCCACGUCUACUUGGAUUGUAUAUAGUGGGGAAGGGUAGAGAACAGGUUGCUAUGGAGACCAAAUGAGAUAAUACAUUCAGUUAUUCAUUUAAUAUACACUAAGCACCUGCUACGAUAAAAAUAAUAAUGGGCACUUAUUGAGUACCUAGUGUAUGCCAGGCACUAUGCUAACUACUUUAAUCCUCACAAUCAUCCUCCGAGGUAGCUGCCCUGAUUUCCAUUUACAGAUGAGGAAACUGAGGCUCAGAGAGAUGACUUGCCCAGAUCACACAGCUAGUCAGUGGUGGAUCUGGGAUUUGAGAGCCACAGUGUUAAAUGGGGCUCAAGUCUCAGCUCCUGUACUAGAGUCAGGGAUCUGCAAGGUCAGGAAUUAUCAUUUAUCAAUCUCUGAAUCUUCGGUGCUUAGGCCACGGCCCAGCACAUAACAGCUGCUCACUAAAUGUGGGUAGGCCUCUUGCAUAUCUACAAGACAAGGUGAGAUGAAACAGUCUGGUGGGGAAGUCAGGGAAGCAAACCAGCAGCAGGUAAUGUAACAGGAUCUAUAGCAGAUGUGCCUUCAGAGAGCUCCCUGAGGUUUGUGCUGGGUCACACUGUGUACCAAUCAGGGUCCCAACAGUCUGACAGCUCCCAGGAAAUAGCAGAUUUCAAGGAGGGAUUAUAUGCAAAGGUGCAGAUAUAGAAGAAUCACAAAAGAGAGAGUAGGCACUUAAUAGCUCCUGAACUGUUCUCACAACUCUUAAUAGCUGCUGAACUGUCCUGCAGAGUUGCUUUCCUCAGGAGGAGCAGUGAGGAACAUGGCCAGUUCAGUGACGUUGCAAACAGUGUAUCAAAGGAAUAUCAUACUCUCUCCCUUCCUCUUUUCCCUCCCUCUGGUCUCCUGUGGCUCCCUGUUGGCCAAACCCAACUAGAAACAGAAGGUUCAAGAACCCACCAAUUCAAUCCCCAUAGAUCAACCUCUUGAAUACAGAGCAGAUGAGGAAAGGUAAUGUAUGGAUCUAGAGGGGCAAAUGAAAGGUAUUCUGCAUGGACCGUGAUAUAGUGUGGAUGUGUGUCCCUACCCAAAUUUCACGUUGAAAUGUAUCCCCUAUGUUGGAGGUGGGGCCUGGUUGGAGGUGACUGGAUCAUGGGGGUGGAUUUAUCAUAAAUGAUUUAGUACCAUACCCUUAGUUCUGUCCUCAUGAUAGUGAGUUUUCGCAUCUUGUGAGAGAUGUCAUUUAAAAGUGUGUGGCAUGCUCCCCACUCCCUCUCUUGCUCCUGUUCUGGCUAUGUGUUGUGCCUGCUCCCCCUUCACCUUCCACCAUGAUUGUAAGUUUCCUGAGGCCUCCCCAGAAGCCAAGUAGAUGCCAGCAUCAUACUCUCUUUACAGCCUAUGGAAUCGUGAACCAGUUAAACCUCUUUUCUGUAUAAAUUACCCAUCCACAGGCAUUUCUUUACAGCAAUGUGAGAAUGGCCUAAUAUGGACUGGAAGGAUAUGCAGACUUUUCCUGGAAAGCAGAGUUGAGGAAGGACAUCCCAUCGAGGGAAAGAAUGUGCAAUCUUUUUGUGUGGAACGCUCAGAACAUUCUAAGUACUUUGGCAUAGCAAAGGCAUAGGGAAUGAGAGACAGCAUGGUAGGAAAUAAAAAUGUGUUCAGAGAGUGGCAGGGGCUGGCUCAUGGACAGCUAAGGCAGGGAGCACUAUUCUGCAGGCACAGGGGACCAUGAAGGGCAGUUAAGUAUGGACUUCCUAUGACUGCAGAGUGGGUAACGAUUCGAGGAAAGGGAAGGGGUCUAGAGGCAGGGGUCUCCUUGGGAGGCACUGCAACCAUCCUACAGAGAUGAGGGUGAGGGUCGGAAGAAGCAGAAGCCUACCCUCUCUUAAGCAAGAUGAAGACAAACGAGACCCGUGGACUCCAUGGAGGCUGGAUCUACAUCACCAUAGUGCCAUUGCCUUCCUUCAAGGGCAAGUGAGGAACAGGUAUGGCUGCUGGUCAGCCCUUGCACUGGGCUAGUGCUCAAGACCAGAGUGAGGUCUUAGUGUCCUGGGGAGAGUUCUGGAUUAGGUUUCUUUUUGGGUGGAGGGAGGUUGUGAAGGGGACUUUGGGAGAGAUUGCAAAUCUGUAAAUGGGCAAGGCUGCCUUGACCACUGAGAGAGGAAGAGAAGGAUACAGGAGAUCAGAAGAUUAGAAGGAGCUGCCUUUGUUCUUAGAAUAUGUGGGAGGCCAUGCUCAAGAGAAGAAAUGGAUGCCGAGAAGGGAAUGUGUGUGCAUCUGACACUAGGAAACAAAUUGGAAGAAAAUUGGUAGAUUGCUUUGAUUUUUUUUUUUCUUUUGCUAGUGUUAAAAAUCAUGGAGAACUGGGAGAGAAGGAGGGGAGUAGGGGAGACUGGGAGGAUCAGAAGCAAACACUUCUGAGGUAAUAAACAACCUGAAACGCAGAGAGGCUGGGAGAAUAAGCAAAGAUGAAGGUGUCUGCAUUCAGAGCACAUCACAGAAGGGCUGAUGUUUUAGAGGUGAAGCAUUUUUUUAGCUUCCAGGGAUUAUUUUGGGGGUUAUGGUUUUUUCCAACAUUGAAGUAUAAUAAUGUCUGAAUUUCUUGCAAUAAGUUAGGUAACAAGUAAUAACACGGGAGGUGGAAUAGAAAAAGUAAUACUUUACUUUAGUACAGCAACAGAACAACACCUUACAUUGGGGCAGAUUAGAACUGGGGCGAGGCUUGCAGAUCUUACUUCUCCUUCUAAGUGGGGAAACUGAGGUCCAGUGAACGGGAAGUAUCUUGCCCCAAAUUAUAUAUAUACACUCCCACCUUCAUUUGACCCUCAUAAAGUAUUUGGUUGGUACAAAGGUAAUUGCAAUUUUUGCCAUCACUUUCAAUGACAAAAACCACAAUUACUUUUGUGCCAACCUAAUAUUUUAGACCAAUAUGGAGAGGAGACAGUAUAGCGGAGGGGUUGGCAAACUUUUUCUCUAAAAAGACAGAUAGCAAAUAUUUUGGGCUUUGGUGGGGGGGGUCACAUAUGAUCAGUGUUGCAUAUUCUUUUUUAAAAAAAAAAUCCUUUAAAAGCGUAAGAGCCAUUUUCAGCUCACCAGCCAUACAAAAAUCAGGCCAUGCAAAAACAGGCUGUCCAAAGAAAAACAUGGUAUUGAAUUUUGACCUGGGUUUGAAUUUUGCUUCUGCUGUGAACAGGUCAUGUAACUUUUGGCAAGUUAAUUAGACUUAUUUUCCUUCUCUGUUAAAUGACCACAUCUACCUCACCAGGCUCCUAGGAAGACAGAAAGAGACAUGUCUGGUCUCAAAUCCUAGCUCUGCCAUUUGUUUUCAGUGUGACUCUCGCUAAUUAAACUCUCUGUCUCUCAGUUCCUUCAUCUGCAAAAUAAAGAUAAUAGUAGUACCAACUUUAUAUGACUGAUAUGUGGAUGAAAUGACCUAUGUGUAAAACUCAUAGAAUAGUUUCUGCCAUGUAUAAGUGUUUUUUGUUUUUGUUUGUUUGUUUGUUUUGAGACAGAGUCUCGCACUGUUGCCUGGGCUGGAGUGCAAUGGCAUGAUUUCGGCUCACUGCAACCUCUGCCUCCCAGGUUCAAGCGAUUCUCCUGCCUCAGCCUCCCAAGUAGCUGGGAUUACAGACAUUCACCACCACGCCCAGCUAAUUUUUUGUAUUUUUAGUAGAUAUGGAGUUUCCCUAUGUUAGCCAGGCUGGUCUCGAACUUCUGACCUCGUGAUCCGCCCACCUUGGCCUCCCAAAGUGCCGGGUUUACAGGCGUGAGCCACCGCACCCAGCCGCCAUGCAUAAGUUUUACAUAGUAAUAAGUAUUUCUUUUGUACCAGGUACGUUAUAUGUUCAUAUAACAUUAUUAGUAUAACAUAAUAUUUAUAUUAUAUUAAACACAUAUUUAUAUUGACAUAUUAAUAUAUGACAUUAUUAUAGGACAUAUAAUACAUAAUAAAUAUAUACAAAUAUUUAUAUAUGGUAUAUAUGGUAAAUAUAUACUUCUAUAUUUAUUAGGAGCAGUGA
rnacentral:lncRNA from 1 species